UACGGAGGAUGCGAGCGUUAUCCGGAUUUAUUGGGUUUAAAGGGUGCGUAGGCGGGCUGUUAAGUCAGCGGUAAAAGCCCGGGGCUCAACCCCGGCGAGCCGUUGAAACUGGCUGUCUUGAGAUGUCGAGAGGUAUACGGAAUGCGCAGUGUAGCGGUGAAAUGCUUAGAUAUUGCGCAGAACUCCGAUUGCGAAGGCAGCAUACCGGCGGCGAUCUGACGCUGAGGCACGAAAGCGUGGGUAUCGAACAGG
rnacentral:rRNA from 1 species